GACGAACGCUGGCGGCGUGGAUUAGGCAUGCAAGUCGAACGGUAUCAUCCUUUCGGGGGUGAGAGAGUGGCGAACUGGUGAGUAACACGUAGGUUAUCUACCCUCAAGACGGGGACAACCCAGGGAAACUUGGGCUAAUACCGGAUGUGAGCAGCUUUUAGUUGUUUGAAAGGUGGCGUAAGCUGUCGCUUGGGGAUGAGCCUGCGUCCUAUUAGUUAGUUGGUGAGGUAACGGCUCACCUAGGCAAUGAUAGGUAGGCGGCCUUAACGGGUGGUCGCCCACACUGGGAUUGAGAUACGGCCCAGACUCCUACGGGAGGCAGCAGUCGAGAAUAGUCUACAAUGGUCGGAAGACUGAUAGUGCGACGCCGCGUGAACGAUGAAUCCCUUCGGGGUUAAAGUUCUUUUAUAUGUGAGCAGUGCUUCUUAUAUUAACAGUAUGGGGAGAGAGAUAUUAGCAUAUGAAUAAGCAACGGCUAACUCCGUGCCAGCAGCCGCGGUAA
rnacentral:rRNA from 1 species